rnacentral:misc_RNA from 1 species
UGUAGCUAAAGAGCAGCCAGGUUGA